rnacentral:lncRNA from 1 species
AAGAUUUUGGCCUAAACAAUGCCUUCUUGAAUAUGAACUGUUUGGAAACAGUUACUCGAUUUUCAACGGUUCAGAUUGAAUCAAUUGGCCAUUAAUGUUGCGCCCCACUUUCUUCCGUUUCUGCUAACCCACGUCUGCCACGUUUGUCUGUUGAGCUACAGUUCGUGGGGAACUGGGUAAUUAAUAGCUAGUUACCAGCUAGCUAUCAAUAGAUGACGCUUUGCCUUCUUCCUCCCACGUUUUUGAGCUUUUUAAAAGAAAUUCAAACUUACAGUUCCUGUUUAUUCGAAAAACCUAGCCUUUCAGACCUUGUCCUUUCCAGUGUUCUCCUAAGUUUCUACCCUUUCUCUUUGUUCAGACCUUAAUCCUUCCUUUGUCUCGACUCGUAAUCCCUAAAAAAUGUCUUCUUCAAAAACUCGUGCCCAGGGUUCGUCUUUUUCAAUUCCUCCUGAUUACAUCACUAGGGCUGGUGUUCAUAAACACGCCAUUGAGGUUCGGAGCAAGCUUC